GUUCUUACUGGGCUUCUAUUUUAGUUCGCUCUUACUUUUUUUACUUGAAGUUAUGCCUUUUUCAACUAAGCUUCAUGAGUAUCAAGUUGUGGGCCGCAAAAGACCCACAGAUACCGAUCCUAAACCGAAGCUUUACCGAAUGCGACUUUUUUCACCAAACCCUGUUAUUGCAAAGUCUAGAUUCUGGUAUUUCUUAAAAAAGGUGAAUAAAGUUAAAAAAAUGACAGGCGAAAUUGUUUCUUGUAUCGAGAUUUUUGAGAAAAAACCUGAUCGGGUUAAAAACUACAGUAUAUUCCUGCGCUAUGAUUCUCGUUCUGGAACUCAUAACAUCUACAAAGAGUUCCGUGAUAUUACUGCGACUGGCGCUGUGGCCCAGUGCUACCAGGAUUUGGCCGCCAGACACCGCUGCCGUGCUCGCUCCAUCCAUAUUAUUCGGGUUGACGAGAUCCCCGCUGGAAAGUGCAGACGCCCUCAAAUUACUCAAUUUCACGACUCGAAAUUGAAAUUUCCGCUUCCUCAUCGGGUCAUAAAGCGCUCUAAAGAGCACAAGUCCAAGUUUAUAGCCAAAAGA